UACGUAGGGGGCAAGCGUUGUCCGGAAUUAUUGGGCGUAAAGCGCGCGCAGGCGGUUAUUUAAGAUGGGUGUUUAAUCCCGGGGCUCAACCUCGGGUCGCACCCAAAACUGGGUAACUUGAGUACAGAAGAGGAAAGUGGAAUUCCACGUGUAGCGGUGAAAUGCGUAGAGAUGUGGAGGAACACCAGUGGCGAAGGCGACUUUCUGGGCUGUAACUGACGCUGAGGCGCGAAAGCGUGGGGAGCAAACAGG
rnacentral:rRNA from 1 species